rnacentral:rRNA from 1 species
AUUGAACGCUGGCGGCAGGCCUAACACAUGCAAGUCGAGCGCAGCGGCGGACGGGUGAGUAAUGACUAGGAAUUUGCCUGGUAGUGGGGGAUCAAGUACGGAAACGGGAGCUUAUAACGCAUAAUUUCAGAUGAGCUUAGGUCUGAUUAGCUAGUUGGUGAGGUAAAGGAUUACCAAGGCGACGAUCCGUAACCGGUCUGAGAGGAUGAUCAGUCAAACUGGGACUGGGACACGGUCCAGACUCCUACGGGAGGCAGCAGUGGGGAAUAUUGGACAAUGGACGAAAGCCUGAUCCAGCAAUGCCGCGUGAGUGAAGAAGGUUUUCGGAUUGUAAAGCACUGUAAUUUGGGAGGCGUUACCAACAGAAUAAGCAACGGCUAACUUCGUGCCAGCAGCCGCGGUAAUAC